rnacentral:lncRNA from 1 species
GCUUCUUCUUCUACAACUAGUUUUUGUUCUGCGACUUUGCCAUAUAAGAAGCCUCGGUUUCAUCGGUUCCUUCAAGUGAGAUCCCAAAGCUACGGUGAAGAAGGUAAAAUUUACGCGUCCCUCGUUUGACAACACGAAUCUUGAUAUCUUAUGAUUCGUUUGAGCAUUAUGGGCAACUUGUCUGAGUAGUAGUUCAACCCUUAUAUGUUCGAUAUGGGAUUUAUCCUUAACAUUUCUUCUUGUUCUUGGUCGUCUUAAAAAUCAAUGUUUAGUUGUUUCUUUCUGUACUUUCCUUUGACAGGGAAAUCAAGAGACAUUGUUGAUGUGAAUCUGUGCAUUCUGAGGGAAAGGAUACAAGAAAUCAGAGUAAAAGAAAGACUCGAAAAUUGCUGUGUAGCUAAGCAAGGAUGGAAUUAUGCACAUGCCUAUAAUUAUAAACGCAAAAGAGAUGCACAGUUUUCUGUCUUUCUCCAAAUUAUUGGCAUAGUUUGCGGGACUUUUAGCCUCGUACUUGCGUGUUGUACUCUUUGCCUCUGCUUAUUUUCCCUUUUAGUUCAUCUCCAUUAAUGAACUGCUGCUCUAUAGUAAUAAAUAUCUUUGUUUAGAAUCACUA